UACGUAGGGGGGCAAGCGUUGUCCGGAUUUAUUGGGCGUAAAGAGCGUGUAGGCGGCCAUACAGGUCAGCUGUGAAAACUCGAGGCUCAACCUCGAGACGUCGGUUGAAACCGUAUGGCUAGAGUCCGGAAGAGGAGAGUGGAAUUCCCGGUGUAGCGGUGAAAUGCGCAGAUAUCGGGAAGAACACCCGUGGCGAAGGCGGCUCUCUGGGACGGUACUGACGCUGAGACGCGAAAGCGUGGGGAGCAACAGG
rnacentral:rRNA from 1 species